UACAGGGGGGGCAAGCGUUGUUCGGAAUUACUGGGCGUAAAGGGUUCGUAGGUGGCUUACUAAGUCAGACGUGAAAUCCCUCAGCUUAACUGGGGAACUGCGUCUGAUACUGGAAAGCUUGAGUGCAGGAGAGGAACGCGGAAUUCCAGGUGUAGCGGUGAAAUGCGUAGAUAUCUGGAGGAACACCGGUGGCGAAGGCGGCGUUCUGGACUGCAACUGACACUGAGGAACGAAAGCCAGGGGAGCAAAUGGG
rnacentral:rRNA from 1 species